GCCCAGACUCCUACGGGAGGCAGCAGUGAGGAAUAUUGGUCAAUGGGCGCGAGCCUGAACCAGCCAAGUCGCGUGAGGGAGGACGGCCCUACGGGUUGUAAACCUCUUUUGCCGGGGAGCAACGGGCGUCACGUGUGGCGCCACUGAGAGUACCCGGAGAAAAAGCAUCGGCUAACUCCGUGCCAGCAGCCGCGGUAAUACGGAGGAUGCGAGCGUUAUCCGGAUUUAUUGGGUUUAAAGGGUGCGUAGGCGGGUUGUUAAGUCAGUGGUGAAAGUUUGCGGCUCAACCGUAAAAUUGCAGUUGAUACUGGCAUCCUUGAGUACAGUAGAGGUAGGCGGAAUUCGUGGUGUAGCGGUGAAGUGCUUAGAUAUCACGAAGAACUCCGAUUGCGAAGGCAGCCUGCUGGACUGUAACUGACGCUGAUGCUCGAAAGUGUGGGUAUCAAACAGGAUUAGAUACCCCAGUA
rnacentral:rRNA from 1 species